rnacentral:hammerhead_ribozyme from 1 species
AUUCAGCUGAUGAGCCCCAAAUAGGACGAAACGCACGUCAAACUGGAU